rnacentral:miRNA from 1 species
UUAGUGACGUGUAUAUAUAAACAU